AAGAGGUUCUCAGUUCAGAAUCAGAAACAGAAGUUGUCAUAAGAACUCGGAAUACUGAGGUAUCUGACCUGGCAGAUACACUGCCAAUAAGACCCAGGCAUACAAGCACACCAGAAGAACGUAUUAAUAAUAAAAUUGAUGUGGAACCAUCGCCAGGAAGUGUUGUAGAGAUAAUGCUCUCAGAUUCAGAGGAUGACCGUCCAAGUA